AACAGUUGCUAAGACUGGAUAGGAAAAGUGAAGGCAUCUUUACUUUUUUAAAAGACCUUCUUUGAAGGUAUGCUUAAGGAGGGGCUUGCGACACAUUAGUUAGUUGGCAGGGUAAAGGCCUACCAAGACUAUGAUGUGUAGCUGGACUGAGAGGUUGAACAGCCACAUUGGGACUGAGACACGGCCCAAACUCCUACGGGAGGCAGCAGUAGGGAAUUUUCGGCAAUGGAGGAAACUCUGACCGAGCAACGCCGCGUGAACGAUGAAGUACCUCGGUAUGUAAAGUUCUUUUAUUAAGGAAGAAAAAAGAGUGGAAAAACUCCCUUGACGGUACUUAAUGAAUAAGCCCCGGCUAAUUAUGUGCCAGCAGCCGCGGUAAUACAUAAGGGGCGAGUGUUAUCCGGAAUUAUUGGGCGUAAAGGGUGCGUAGGCGGUUUAAUAAGUCUAUAGUUUAAUUUCAGCGCUUAACGCUGUUGUGCUAUAGAAACUGUUUUACUAGAGUGAGAUAGAGGCAAGCGGAAUUCCAUGUGUAGCGGUAAAAUGCGUAAAUAUAUGGAGGAACACCAGAGGCGUAGGCGGCUUGCUGGGUCUUUACUGACGCUGAGGCACGAAAGCGUGGGGAGCAAACAGGAUUAGAUACCCUGGUAGUCCACGCCGUAAACGAUGAGUACUAAGUGUCGGGUAAAACCGGUACUGAAGUUAACACAUUAAGUACUCCGCCUGAGUAGUACGUACGCAAGUAUGAAACUUAAAGGAAUUGACGGGACUCCGCACAAGCGGUGGAUCAUGUUGUUUAAUUCGAAGAUACACGAAAAACCUUACCAGGUCUUGACAUCUUCUUGCGAAGUUAUAGAAAUAUAAUGGAGGUUAUCAGGAAAACAGGUGGUGCAUGGUUGUCGUCAGCUCGUGUCGUGAGAUGUUAGGUUAAGUCCUAAAACGAGCGCAACCCUUGUCGUUAAUUGCCAGCAUGUAAUGAUGGGGACUUUAACGAGACUGCCAAUGAAAAAUUGGAGGAAGGUGGGGAUUACGUCAAAUCAUCAUGCCCCUUAUGAUCUGGGCUACAAACGUGAUACAAUGGUUGAUACAAAGAGUAGCUGAAACGCGAGUUCUUAGCCAAUCUCAUAAAAUCAAUCUCAGUUCGGAUUGAAGUCUGCAACUCGACUUCAUGAAGUUGGAAUCGCUAGUAAUCGUGAAUCAGCAUGUCACGGUGAAUACGUUCUCGGGGUUUGUACACACCGCCCGUCA
rnacentral:rRNA from 1 species